CGAUGUGAGUUGAUAAGCUUGCUUAGUCUUUUAUUGAAUAUGCUGUAGUGCGGUCAUAACACAGUUAAUUUAAGAUAUUAACACAUAUUUCUUGAAAUACAUAUAGAAAUUGUGCAAUAAAAUAGUGGGAACUCAAAAUAAAACAGAUUUUGUGAUGAUAUCAAAUAAUUAUAAUUAAUUAUGUAUAUUAUGUAGAACAAGAAAAGCAUUUAUAAUGGACAAAAUCGAUUUGUCCUUCCAAAAUAGUUAUACAUAACAUAGUGAAUCGUUCGACGGGCUGCUUAAGUCACAACCCAGAACAAUAUUUAUACACAUAACUUCUACUUAUGUAUGUACAUAUAUACCAUUUUACAAACUAAUGUUUGGCAAACAAAAAAUAUGCAAAUUUAUUGGAGUGAAAAUUUUGUUUUCAGUGUUUUUUGUCUUAAAUAAUUAUUUAACAAUGAAGAAAGAAAAAUGAAUGACUACGUAAUACAAGCGACAUGUACAAAAAAUAUAUAUGCACCAGUACACACAUACAUAUGAGUGGGUCAUCCAUCAAUGUAAGAGGCCUUAUGUAAAAAAAUUGUGUACUAUUAUAUGCUGCAGAAGAAAUAAGUAACUGCCAAUUAUUGUAGUUUCACCACAAAACUGUUUGGCUGUACAACACAUGUAUUUGGUUUGCAGAAUCAAUUUCUUUCACCCAAAUUGCUGUUUAAUAAUUAAAUUUAAUAUUGUUAUGUUGAUCUUGUAUUCAUGUCACAAUGAAAUUAAGUGUGAGCGCGUAUCGCGCGCACGCAUCAGCACACAAAAAAAUACUCUCGAGCGGUUACCAUUCGCAACUCAACUACGGCAGCACAGGUGCGGCAAUUUCUUCUUCUGCUGUUUUACAAAUGGCGGACCCGACCGAAAACGCAAUGUCAGUUUCAAAAGAUCGCCAUGAAAUCGAAUGCAAUAGUGAUACAGAUAUCGUAAGCCCAUCUGGUACGAGCAGCUCUGGGCGGGAACGGACUGGCACUAUUAGGAAAAUGCAACGUGGAAGUGACAAUGAUAAUAAUAGUAAUGCUCAUUAUUCCGACUUUAAAAGUCCCGGGCAAAAGAAAUCAGAUAUCAGCGAAAAGCCUUCAGACCUGGAUGCUGACUGGAACCGAUCCAAUCAACGAUGGAUGAAGCUUAGAACAACUGUCCAAAUAUCUUCAGCGAUACAGAAAAAACCCCCAUUAAAACGUGAGGACUCCUUUUUAAAGCGAUUCUCUACGCGACAAAUUCCAGAAACUCAGGAAACGGUCGAAGACACUGGGUCGGAGAGCGCCUUUGGAGAAUCUAAUAAAAGUACAAAACGUCGGCGUCGAUUUUUACAAAAGCGGCGAUCUGUUGUUAAUCCAGAUGAAAACUUUUAUUUCUAUUGGUUAAUGAUACUAACUGUUUCUGUUUUAUACAAUUUAUGGACUCUUAUUGUGCGACAAAGCUUUCCUGAACUGCAGCAAGCUGUUCCUAUAUUUUGGUUUGUUUGUGAUACACUUACGGAUGUAGUUUUCGUAUUCGAUAUAAUUGUCCAACUGCGCACAGGAUACCUCGAACAAGGACUAAUGGUUUAUGAUGAUAAAAAAUUAGCACUUCAUUAUAUACAUUCUAGAGAUUUCUUUUUUGAUAUCAUAUCAUUGAUUCCCCUGGAUUUAAUACAACUCAAAAUCGGUGCAAAUCCUCUUUUACGGUUUUCAAGGUUUUUCAAGGUGUAUCGAUGUGUCAAAUUCUAUUACAUUGUUGAAAGUAGGACAGUUUGGCCAAACUUAUGGCGUGUUAUAAACUUAAUUCAUAUUUUAUUAAUUUUGGCGCAUUGGUUUGGGUGUUUUUAUUAUCUACUAUCGGAAGCUGAAGGAUUUCAGGGAGACUGGGUAUAUCCUUACAGACCAGGAGAUUACGCGACAUUGACUAGAAAGUAUCUAGGUAGUCUUUAUUGGUCUACCCUUACCUUAACUACAAUUGGAGAUUUACCAACGCCCGAAACAAAUGCAGAACCAAAUUUUUCAGUGGACGGCCCAAGAUCUAUACCUAGACGUGGUAUACGAUCUAGAUUACUGCAAUUCGGUUCCAAUUAUGGGUAUAUUUUUACAAUUGUCAGCUAUCUUAUUGGAGUUUUCAUUUUUGCAACCAUUGUCGGUCAAGUUGGAAAUGUGAUAACUAAUCGUAAUGCUAACCGUCUGGAAUUCGAACGCUUGCUGGAUGGAGCUAAGACUUACAUGCGUCAUCAUAAGGUUCCAGGUGGAAUGAAAAGGCGCGUGCUGCGUUGGUACGACUACAGCUGGUCUAGAGGACGUAUUCAAGGAGGAGGUGAUAUAAACACAGCUUUGGGCUUACUGCCGGACAAGCUGAAAACAGAACUAGCGUUACAUGUUAACUUGAGUGUCUUAAAAAAAGUCACUAUAUUUCAAGAGUGCCAACCUGAAUUUUUACAUGAUUUGGUACUGAAAAUGAAAGCAUAUAUAUUUACACCAGGAGACUCCAUUUGCCGUAAAGGUGAGGUAGCCAGAGAAAUGUUUAUAAUAGCUGAUGGUAUACUGGAAGUGCUUAGUGAAACCGGUAAAGUGCUGACGACAAUGAAGGCUGGCGACUUUUUCGGUGAAAUCGGAAUUCUGAACUUGGAUGGCCUUAAUAAGCGUACGGCUGAUGUACGCUCAGUGGGUUAUUCUGAAUUGUUUUCAUUGUCGAGAGAAGAUGUACUCGCCGCUAUGAAGGACUACCCCGAAGCACAAGAAAUUUUACAAACUCUUGGACGGAAGCGGCUUAUGGAAGUUCGAUGUGUAAAUAAGAAGCACGCAAAAGCACAAUGUAAUAACGCGCAAUCGGAUCAUCCACAUGUAUAUAGCAAUAUUAAUCGAAGCGAUAGUAGCGAAAAUAGUGCCUCAAAAAAAAUCGUGUACAAAUUAAGAAAAGAUGUAAAAGGAAUCCGAAGUAUGCUUAAAAAGACAAGAACCCGAAGAAGUGAUGAAUCGUUAGAAAUACAACCGCUGCAAGAAAUCUUAAAGAAAGGCAAUAAAACGACUCUGAAGCGAAUGUCACAUGUACGUUCUGAAGAGAAAGAGGAAAAAGAAGAAAAAACGAACCAAGACAAAACACCUAGUCCAAUUGGUGCAGGGCUACCGUUGCUCCAAAGGCUACGAUUACUUAAAGAGAAACAGGAUCGCGAAGAAAAAACGGCAAAGGCAAUCCCUCCUCAGAUAUCUCCCCCACAUGUUCAUAUUGCCAAUGCACUAUCACCACAGGAAUCAAUCCAGGAAGAACCGGAGACUGAAGUAAACGAAGCACUUCCACUGAUGCAAAGACUACAAAUGUUAAGGAAUAAACAGGAAACGAAAAGCAGCGACGUGAAGCUUACAGUUAAACCCAAUCCUGCUGUGUCUUUAAAGCAAAAGAUACAAAUGCUUAAUUUCGCUGGAGUGCCGAAGACAGAUCCUAUGAAUUACAAGUUGAAAGACGAUAAAUCGACCACUAUAGAUAUAGAUCAAAAGCAGACUCCAAAAAUACUUGAUGUGCAGAAAUAUAUUAAACACGAUCUAGGUGCAAUAAAUAAAUCGCCAAAGGCGGUAGCAGGAAAGUCAUUAAAAUUAAUAAAACCGUCCAUAAACAUCUCAUCAAAACGCUCAGAUAGUGAUAUGUCUAUUAAGCCGUGGUCCAAACUUAAGUUAGCAACGAUAAUAUCAACAAGUUCUAAUAAUUUAGCGAAAUUUUCACCUGGAGAUUCAGACGUAGAAGCAAAAACAUAUUCAUCAAACGAAAUACCCCAAACGCUUUCUCAAAGGACAUCGGUUUUUACAUCCACUACACCAUCCACAAAUACCCUACAUUCUGUAACUGCAACCUCCCUAAAUACAAAGCCUACACAGAAAACUGUAUCAGCAAAUCAUUUCAACGAAAGCAGAAAAUCGUAUCACUCUGUUUUUGAUUUAUCGCCUGAGUAUAGUGGGUUACCAUUCGUAAAGCGUCUAAAAAUUCUGAACGAACGUCAGAAGUUAGAAGAACUUGAAAAGGCACUACAGAUGCGAAGUUUUAGCUUAGACAGUUCUAAAAUAAGUAGCCAAUUCGCAGUGCCAGAACCGUUGUAUCGCUGCUUCAGUGAUGUUUCUGAGAUGUACUCGCAAUUUUUUACAGCUUAUGAAUCCAGUUCAUCUAAUUCGACGAACACAUCUCUGUCAAAUUACAACAUUGAGAGGAAAUACAAAUAUAUACCACCUGCCUAUUUGCCUCUUAGUCCCGAGCAAAAUGAAACUGCUGAACGCCGAAAGUUGAAGUGUAUUCUACAGAAACUCCGUCACAGUUCAGAGGAAUGUAAAAGUGCUUUUCAAAGUGGAAAUGAAGACUCUCGCGUGACGGAAAAGCCCAACAAGAUAUUACUAAGAGAACCGACAUUUGAAGGGUAUGUGGCUAGACAUAGUAUGCUAAUGAAAAGUAUAACGAUCAAACCAACUCUUUCUAGUCCACCCAACAGCGCUUACAGAUUUAAUGAAGAUGAACAAUAUGAUGCCUUGCGAACGACUAGUGAAGACAAAGAUAAACACGUAAAGAUUUCUCGCGCGCCCACAAUUUCCGCUUUUGGAUUGAAUAAAUGCCCAGAAAAUCGAGUAUCCAGUGGCACUCAAAUAAAAGCCGUCUCAAAACGACGAAAUACUAUUCAACUUAAUAAUAAUGUGAUGCAAUAUACUCCGAGCUCAUCCCACACUAAUCAACGCACAGCAAAACGGUUGAAAACAACAAUUGGAGACUCGUUGAGGACAGGAGGUUUUAGUUAUAAGUUUCACUGCACUUUUUGGAGGGAACAUGUGACGGCUCGCACGGACCGCUAAAGAACGUUUUCGGUGCACCAUCAGGAAAAAAGGGCCGUUUUCCGAUCGGGUUGAUGCUUUAAGGUCUGCUGGGUGGAUGUGCGUGGGUUGUAUGGUGUGUUGGAUGAUGUGUUGUUGAUGCGGUUUUAUGUGUAUUGAUAUCCUUAACGUGGAGGAGAAUUUCAAUCGUGUUUGGAGUGAAAUUAAUGAUGUAAUUAAGAAUCACAUUACAGAAAUGCAUUUAAAAUUCGAAUUACAAUUUUCGGUAAUGGCCCGAGAAGUAAGAAAACGCGAUGAAAUCAUUGCAAAUCUCCAAUCAAAAAUUAGAAAUAUCGAAUUAAAAACAUUCUCGCCACGAAGAAAAAGUGAACUAACCCGUGAUAAGCCUAGCAAAUUAUGGGUUGAUGUAGAACUAGAGUCAGAAGACCAUGCCAGCUCCAGUUCAUCAGCAGAACUACUUUUUAUGCGUGGGGACUCAUUGGAUACGGUUUUUAUGUCAUCUCCGCCACAAGUUCAACGACACAGUUCUUCAUCGUUAUUUAAUAAUGUUUGCAAAGACUCUUCUGGAUACAUUUCUUCACGAAGUUUGUACAAAAAUAAAUCGGAAGGGAAUAUUACUACGGGCAAGCAACAAAAGAGAAAUUAUGUUGUUUCUGUAUCAGAUCUCACCGGUAAUUUGAACAUGCAAGAUAGUGUUGUUCUAGAUAUUGGUGAUAGUUCGAGCUCGAGUUCUUCUUCUAGCAAAUUGAAUGUUAAGGGUAAAGACAUAGAGCAAAAACAUGUGGAAGACAAUGCAUUCGCACAUGUGCAUCACAACGAUUGGGAGGUAAAAAUGCUUGCUGCAGAGAUGGAUAAACAAGAAAGAAAACGUGCGAACUCCACUGACUUUAAGUGUAGUAAUUCGAUUUUAACAAGAUGUCGAAAAUUUAGUGAUACUGAGGCAGAUAUUAGUGAAACAGAUCCCGAAGUUGAAUCCUUCUCUAUAUCCAGACCCAGAGCUUCAAGUUUAGACCAAUUCAAUUUAAGAUACGGUAUUGGAAAAAAGAUUUUUAAAGCAAUUAGUAUCGAUCGUGAUAAAAAUAAACUUUGAGAUUUGCCAAUUUAUUAUCUAGGGUUACAUUAUACACACAUAUGUUAAUAAAAUUUUAAUAGUAAGAAUGAAAAUAUGAAAGAUUAUCAAAAACAAAGAUGUCUUAAGCACAUAAAUUCGAUAGAUGUUGUCAAAAUAUAGAUUGAAAAGUGUUGGCAACAAAACAUAUACAUAUAUACGGUAUAUAUUUGUAAGAAUAUGUGAAUCAGUUUUUUAUAUUUUUUAUCUGAAUACAUAUUGCAAAUCUUUUUUAUUAAUAUAUUUUACUAGACACUAAUAGCGAAAAACAACAGUAAGUUUUUCCUAAGUUCUGGGUGUGAUAAACACAUCGAAAUGCUUAGAGUUACCCCUCUCUCUUUAAAAAAAAAUUUAUGUCACCUGCGAUUUCUUUCAUUUCUUGAGUGACUUGCAAUUGUAUUGUUAUACACAAAAGUCUGAAAAUAUUUACUCUGAGCAAGUGAAUAUCUUAAACAUUACAACUCUAGAUAAUAAUAUUGUAAUCCCCAUAUAUAAGUUUAAGAUUAUCUCAGGAAAAAAAUUUUCUUAAGAAUAAUAACCUCUUUUUAAACUUAAAAACCCGUAAAUGCCCUUAAUUUAAAACCGUGGGAGAAAUUUAAAUUUGCUCAUAUUAAAAUUAUUAAUACAUAGAUAGAUACAUGUGGCAUAAAAACGAAAUUAUCACCCAGAAAUAACGCAUUGAUAUUUUCCAACCAAUACAUUCGGGCAAACAUUUUUUGGCGCAUGGGUCUUCAAUUAUUUUUAUAAUUCCAACGCUCUUCUUCCGAAAUCUGCCAUCAGACGCCUCCUAAUGACACAUAAAUCUAGAGAUGAGACGUUAUUAUAUGAUAUAUAAUUUGUUUGAUUACUUAAUCAAUUUUAUUCCAUGAUGUUAUUUAAUACUAUUAAAGUGCCCUUAAUAAGUACAAUUAUGGGGCAUUAUUUAAAGAUUAAAAACAAAAAUUCUUGAAUACUGUUGUUGUUGUAAUGCAGAUUUUAGUAUGUUUCUCAACUUGUAAAAUAUUUAUUCAAAUAGUUUGUGCUUUCUGAUGAAUACAAACUAAAAUAUCUAAAAUAAGCCCUUAAAAACAUUGCCAGUUCAAUUUAUGUUGGAAACUUUUGUGGGUAAUUAAAUAUGGUACCAAGUAUAAUAAGACCUUCCAUAUAUUUUUGAAUUAAAUUUAAAUGACAUUAACACUCCUAUUACGGAAGGCUAGUAGAUUAUAAUUGUCGUUAUGCUUGCCAAUCUAAUGAGUUUAUUUUUUUA